AAGGCCCUUUCGGGGGUACACGAGUGGCGAACGGGUGAGUAACACGUGGGUGACCUGCCCUGUACUUUGGGAUAAGCCUGGGAAACUGGGUCUAAUACCGGAUAUGACCUUCUCCUGCAUGGGGGUUGGUGGAAAGCUUUUGCGGUACAGGAUGGGCCCGCGGCCUAUCAGCUUGUUGGUGGGGUAAUGGCCUACCAAGGCGACGACGGGUAGCCGGCCUGAGAGGGCGACCGGCCACACUGGGACUGAGACACGGCCCAGACUCCUACGGGAGGCAGCAGUGGGGAAUAUUGCACAAUGGGCGCAAGCCUGAUGCAGCGACGCCGCGUGAGGGAUGACGGCCUUCGGGUUGUAAACCUCUUUCAGUAGGGACGAAGCGCAAGUGACGGUACCUACAGAAGAAGCACCGGCCAACUACGUGCCAGCAGCCGCGGUAAUACGUAGGGUGCAAGCGUUGUCCGGAAUUACUGGGCGUAAAGAGCUCGUAGGCGGUUUGUCACGUCGUCUGUGAAAACCCGAGGCUUAACCUCGGGCCUGCAGGCGAUACGGGCAGACUUGAGUACUGUAGGGGAGACUGGAAUUCCUGGUGUAGCGGUGGAAUGCGCAGAUAUCAGGAGGAACACCGGUGGCGAAGGCGGGUCUCUGGGCAGUAACUGACGCUGAGGAGCGAAAGCGUGGGUAGCGAACAGGAUUAGAUACCCUGGUAGUCCACGCCGUAAACGGUGGGUACUAGGUGUGGGUUUCCUUCCACGGGAUCCGUGCCGUAGCUAACGCAUUAAGUACCCCGCCUGGGGAGUACGGCCGCAAGGCUAAAACUCAAAGGAA
rnacentral:rRNA from 1 species